AGCCGCCGCCGCCGUUUUCCCCGGUAUGGACGAACAGCGGGCGAGGUCUUUUAUGCCUUUCGCGGGAAGGUCAACAAACGGUGAGAAGCUAUCGAAAACGACCUGUUUUACCACAUUUCCAGGCCACUUGACCCACGGGGACCUGACUUUGCAACAUUCGUCGGGGGCGCUGCAAAAAGCUUAGCUUCUCGGAAACUCAGGCCUGCCUGUGUCUCUCAAGGAUGGACAGAGGUGGUUGUGGACUUAAAGACCCUUUGAUGUAAGGGAUAGAGAGAAGCUAAGUGAGCGCACCCAUCUCUGAGCAUUUCAACCGCGAGGGAAUCCGAGCAAAGUAACAAUAAGAUACAACUAAUAUCCUAGGAAUGCUGUUGGUUUACAGUGUUCUGUCAAUUUUCUCCUGUACUGUCGGGAGCCAUAAGGCUGCUCCAGUAAAGAAAGCAAAGCCACAGUCGGCACCUGCAUGAGGCUUGUCUGGUUAGCAGAGCUACAGACAAGCUGAAGAAAGAAGAAGGAUUGCGGAUGCGUGAGGCUUGUCUGGUUAGCAGAGCUACAGACAAGCUGAAGAAAGAAGAAGGAUUGCAGAGCAAUCCCUUGAAAGACAUCGGCUCCAGGAAAAUAAAAAUGAUAUCCCCUAAAAAAUAUGUUAAUCUAUUUUUCUGUGUUUAUCCUUCCUUUUCUAUCUCUAUUCACAGCUUUCUUACUGCUAAAGAUUUGCCCUGGGUACGUAAAACACUUGAACCAAAACAGAAUGAAGUUAUUUAAACAAUGUAAUGGAAAAAGCCUUUGUUUUGGAGUAACAAUUUAUGGCACCUAUUUUGUGAGAGUAUACAGGGGAAACUUAUGAUUUCAGUCCCUUUACUUAAAAAGAAGUUUGGGGCUGGGAAAAUGUUGUUUGGCCUAUAAAUUGCUAUUUUCUAUAAUAGAUAUAUUUUUUAACAGUGUCACUUGUAACUUUCAUCCCUUGUGGGGGCAUUUGUUAAUUUUUGGGUAUAAUACUCCUUUCUAUUGAAAUUGGUGGUUUGGAACUUACGUAAAUCAGCACAAUAGGUUAAAUGCUUAGCUUGCUGGCGCCAAAUAAAUCGUGGUUUUAAGAAUGCCAUGAGCCCAAGGCUUUCAUGCGUUUUGUUAACUACAUACACCUUUAGUUAAAGAAUGUUAGGUAUCAUAGUUUAUUACUUAUUAAAGCUUUGUUCUUAAUAUAGAAUAGAAUAGCUACUGUUGUUGACCUUUUAAGAAAAAUACAGUGUGAAACUUUAAGUUUGUAAUCUUGAAGGAAAAUCUGAAGUUGAAAGGAACAUGUUUUAACUAACCUUCUUUUUUUGUAUCUCGGGUGGAGGGAACAAAAGGGCUUUAAAUCAAAUGUUAAUGUCAAAUCUUACACGAAACCUGAUUGUGAUAGGGUAUAAAAACUGAUGCUUUUCAUUUAAUAAAUUGGGUCAUCUGCAGCAUGCA
rnacentral:lncRNA from 1 species